rnacentral:misc_RNA from 2 species
AAGUCGUAACAAGGUCUCCGUAGGUGAACCUGCGGAGGGAUCAUUACUGAGUUUUUAACUCUCCAAACCAUGUGAACUUACCACUGUUGCCUCGGUGGUCGGUGCUGGAAACAGUGCUGCCACCGGUGGACUACUAAACUCUUGUUAAUUUUUGUCAAAUCUGAAUCAAACUAAGAAAUAAGUUAAAACUUUCAACAACGGAUCUCUUGGUUCUG